rnacentral:lncRNA from 1 species
AUGACGGCGGUUCUUCUGCUAGUGAAUGGGGUUGGCCUUCUUAGCUUCUGGCUGUCUGUGGAAUUCUCAACACCCACUAUCCAGCUGGCUUCUGAGAUUCAGCAAGGCCAUUCAGAGAACAUUGUGUGCAAUAUUCCUCGCUUGAAGGUGAGAGACUCCACAUCACCUCAUAGGAACAUCUCCUUGAGCAGAGGCCCAGAUGUUCUCAGCAGCAACAAUAACAAAUCGUCUCUGGAGUACAGCUUUGUGGCCGACCUUCAGAAAGAUGACCGGACUGAGAUCAUUUGUGAAGCCUAUGUCCAGGUGGGCUCAGAAGUGCUGAGAAAACAGACGAGGAGAGUUUUGAAUGUUGUGGCCAGUCCUUUCAACGUCAGCGUCUCAGCAAAUCGUGAGAGGUACAAAACAAAUGAGAACAUUAAGGUGACAUGUAAUGCUACAGGCAAACCCUUUCCGGAGUUUUCGUGGCAUCUCCCUUCCACAGAGGGUGUGGAAUUCUCAGACAACAACCGGACCAUUGAGAUAUCUUCAGCUCAGAGUUCCCAUAAUGGGACAUACCUAUGUCUGGCCAAUAAUAUUUAUGGCAAGAAAUCGGCACGAGUGGACAUCGUCUUUGAAGAGUCGACUCGCAGCUGGAUCGCCGCAGUGGUGGUGGUGACGUUGCUGGCAGUCCUGAUCACGGCUGGAGUCGUCUUGUACCGCUGUCAGAAAUGA